GACGAACGCUGGCGGCGUGCCUAAUACAUGCAAGUCGAGCGCAGGAAGUCAUCCGAACCCUUCGGGGGGACGUUGACGGAAUGAGCGGCGGACGGGUGAGUAACACGUAAAGAACCUGCCCUCAGGUCUGGGAUAACCACGAGAAAUCGGGGCUAAUACCGGAUGGGUCAUCGGACCGCAUGGUCCGAGGAUGAAAGGCGCUCCGGCGUCGCCUGGGGAUGGCUUUGCGGUGCAUUAGCUAGUUGGUGGGGUAAUGGCCCACCAAGGCGACGAUGCAUAGCCGACCUGGUGGGGUGAUCGGCCACACUGGGACUGAGACACGGCCCAGACUCCUACGGGAGGCAGCAGUAGGGAAUCUUCCACAAUGGACGAAAGUCUGAUGGAGCAACGCCGCGUGAACGAUGAAGGCCCUCGGGUCGUAAAGUUCUGUUGUAAGGGAAGAACAAGUGCCGCAGGCAAUGGCGGCACCUUGACGGUACCUGGCGAGAAAGCCACGGCUAACUACGUG
rnacentral:rRNA from 1 species